UGCUAAGCGGAGGAAAAGAAACUAACAAGGAUUCCCUCAGUAGCGGCGAGCGAACAGGGAAAAGCCCAGCACUGAAUCCCGUAGUCGGAAACGGCUACUGGGAAAUGUAGUGUUUGGAAGCGAUCAAUUCUCGAUGUCAUUGUCAAUGCGUCCAAGUCCAUCUUGAAAGGGGCCAAAACCCAUAGAGGGUGCCAGGCCCGUAAAGACCAUUGUCGAUGUCGAGUGAUUGUCUUCCGAGAGUCGGGUUGCUUGAGAGUGCAGCCCUAAGUGGGUGGUAAACUCCAUCUAAGGCUAAAUAUAACCACGAGACCGAUAGCGAACAAGUACCGUGAGGGAAAGUUGAAAAGAACUUUGAAGAGAGAGUUCAAUAGUACGUGAAACCGUUCAGGGGUAAACCUGAGAAACCCGAAAGUUCGAAGGGGGAGAUUCAUCGCGUUUAUUCAAAUGCGCUGUGCGGUUUUAGACAUAUGACGUCUUAGACGUCGAUUGCUAUUUACUGUACAGGUCAGCUAUCGAUGAACGUGUGCACUUCUCCUCUUGUAGGACGUCGCGAUCUGUUGGGUGUCGGUCUACGGUGUGCAGUGGAGUCCGUUGGCGUCAACUUGUUGUCGUCUUCGAACCUGCGCUUACCUGGCCGACUUGCUCGACGGUCUAAAGAUAGCUCUGAGUCGCAACUUGUUUGCGUUCGACCUAUGGCAAGCAGGCUUGUUUGUCGAUCGGUGAUCGGACCUAGUGCCAAUUCCGACCUCAAGCAGCUGUUAGCUGUAGAGUUCUCGAACAGACUCUGUUUAGCUCAUCGGCGACGCUAUUGCUUUGGGUACUUUCAGGACCCGUCUUGAAACACGGACCAAGGAGUCUAGCAUGUACGCGAGUCAUUGGGAUAUUUAAACCUAAAGGCGAAAUGAAAGUAAAGGUCCGUCCUCGACGGCACCGAAGGAAGAUGGGCAAUAAUAGUUAUUGCUCCGCAUUCCCGGGGCGUCUCAUUCUCAUUACGAGAAGAGGCGCUCUAAGAGCGUACAUGCUGGGACCCGAAAGAUGGUGAACUAUGCCUGGUCAGGACGAAGUCAGGGGAAACCCUGAUGGAGGUCCGUAGCGAUUCUGACGUGCAAAUCGAUCGUAAGAACUGGGUAUAGGGGCGAAAGACUAAUCGAACCAUCUAGUAGCUGGUUCCCUCCGAAGUUUCCCUCAGGAUAGCUGGCGCUCGUUGCGUACGAGUCUCUUCCGGUAAAGCGAAUGAUUAGAGGCAUUGGGAUCGAAACGAUCUCAACCUAUUCUCAAACUUUAAAUGGGUGAGAUCUCCGGCUUGCUUAAAUGUGAAGCUGUGAGAAUAACGGAUCAGAGUGCCAAGUGGGCCAUUUUUGGUAAGCAGAACUGGCGCUGUGGGAUGAACCAAACGCUGAGUUAAAGCGCCCAAAUCAACGCUUAUGGGACACCAUGAAAGGCGUUGGUAACUUAAGACAGCAGGACGGUGGCCAUGGAAGUCGGAAUCCGCCAAGGAGUGUGUAACAACUCACCUGCCGAAGUUACUAGCCCUGAAAAUGGAUGGCGCUGAAGCGUUGUGCUUAUACUCAGCCGUCAGUGGCAUGUGCGGUUGUCAUUCAUUUGUGCAACCAUGAAGCCCUGAUGAGUAGGAGGGUCGCGGCGGUGUGCGUAGAAGGGCUAGCCGUGAGGCUGUCUGGAGCCGCCGUCGGUGCAGAUCUUGGUGGUAGUAGCAAAUACUCCAGCGAGGCCCUGGAGGACUGAUGUGGAGAAGGGUUUCGUGUGAACAGCCGUUGCACACGAGUCAGUCGAUCCUAAGCCCUAGGCGAAAGCCGAUGUUGAUUUGGUGUCUCUUUUAAACAUAUUAUGUUUUUAAUAAUAAACACCUAUUGGGCGAAAGGGAAUCCGGUUCCUAUUCCGGAACCCGGCAGCGGAAUCGUUUCAAAUUCGGACCCUCGGUUCGUCGGGGCAACCCAAAAUGACCCGGAGACGCCGUCGGGAGAUCCAGGAAGAGUUUUCUUUUCUGUAUGAGCGUUCGAGUGCCAUGGAAUCCUCUAGCAGGGAGAUAUGGUUUUGAACGCGAAGAGCACCGUAUUUGCGGCGGUGUCUGGAUCUUCCCCUCGGACCUUGAAAAUCCGGGAGAGGGUCACGUGUACGAGUCGCGCCGGUUCGUACCCAUAUCCGCAGCAGGUCUCCAAGGUAAAGAGCCUCUAGUCGAUAGAAUA
rnacentral:rRNA from 1 species